CGAAGAGAAGCUAAUCGUAGCAUUUAAUUGUUAAUUAAAAGAUAGUAAUGUGUCUUACCUUUCGG
rnacentral:tRNA from 1 species